GACGAACGCUGGCGGCGUGCUUAACACAUGCCAGUCGAACGGAAAGGCCCUGCUUUUGUGGGGUGCUCGAGUGGCGAACGGGUGAGUAACACGUGAGUAACCUGCCCUUGACUUUGGGAUAACUUCAGGAAACUGGGGCUAAUACCGGAUAGGAGCUCCUGCUGCAGGGUGGGGGUUGGACAGUUUCGGCGGUUGGGGAUGGACUCGCGGCUUAUCAGCUUGUUGGUGGGGUAGUGGCUUACCAAGGCUUUGACGGGUAGCCGGCCUGAGAGGGUGACCGGCCACAUUGGUACUGAGAUACGGCCCAGACUCCUACGGGAGGCAGCAGUGGAGAAUAUUGCACAAUGGGCGGAAGCCUGAUGCAGCAACGCCGCGUGCGGGAUGACGGCCUUCGGGUUGUAAACCGCUUUCGCCUGUGACGAAGCGUGAGUGACGGUAAUGGGUAAAGAAGCACCGGCUAACUACGUG
rnacentral:rRNA from 1 species